rnacentral:rRNA from 1 species
CCUACGGGUGGCUGCAGUGAGGAAUAUUGGUCAAUGGGCGUGAGCCUGAACCAGCCAAGUCGCGUGAGGGAUGAAUGUUCUAUGGAUUGUAAACCUCUUUUAUAAGGGAAUAAAGUGAGGCACGUGUCCCUUUUUGUAUGUACUUUAUGAAUAAGGAUCGGCUAACUCCGUGCCAGCAGCCGCGGUAAUACGGAGGAUCCGAGCGUUAUCCGGAUUUAUUGGGUUUAAAGGGUGCGUAGACGGGGUUUUAAGUCAGCUGUGAAAGUCUGCGGCUCAACCGUAGAAUUGCAGUUGAAACUGGCAGUCUUGAGUAUGUUUGAGGCAGGCGGAAUGCGUGGUGUAGCGGUGAAAUGCUUAGAUAUCACGAAGAACUCCGAUUGCGAAGGCAGCUUACUAAGCCAUGACUGACGCUGAUGCACGAAAGCGUGGGGAUCAAACAGGAUUAGAUACCCGGGUAGUC